UACGUAGGGUCCGAGCGUUGUCCGGAAUUAUUGGGCGUAAAGAGCUCGUAGGCGGUCUGUCGCGUCUGCUGUGAAAAUCCGGGGCUCAACCCCGGACUUGCAGUGGGUACGGGCAGACUAGAGUGUGGUAGGGGAGACUGGAAUUCCUGGUGUAGCGGUGAAAUGCGCAGAUAUCAGGAGGAACACCGAUGGCGAAGGCAGGUCUCUGGGCCACUACUGACGCUGAGAAGCGAAAGCAUGGGGAGCGAACAGG
rnacentral:rRNA from 1 species